UACAGAGGGUGCAAGCGUUAAUCGGAAUUACUGGGCGUAAAGGGCUUGUAGGCGGUUAAUUAAGUUAGAUGUGAAAUACCUGGGCUUAACCUGGGAAUGGCAUUUAAUACUGAUUAGCUAGAGUAUGGUAGAGGAAAGGGGAAUUUCCGGUGUAGCAGUGAAAUGCGUAGAUAUCGGAAGGAACAUCAGUGGCGAAGGCGCCUUUCUGGACUAAUACUGACGCUGAGGAGCGAAGGCGUGGGGAGCAAACAGG
rnacentral:rRNA from 1 species